UACGUAGGUGGCAAGCGUUGUCCGGAAUUAUUGGGCGUAAAGCGCGCGCAGGCGGUCCUUUAAGUCUGAUGUGAAAGCCCACGGCUCAACCGUGGAGGGUCAUUGGAAACUGGGGGACUUGAGUGCAGAAGAGGAGAGUGGAAUUCCACGUGUAGCGGUGAAAUGCGUAGAGAUGUGGAGGAACACCAGUGGCGAAGGUGACUCUCUGGUCUGUAACUGACGCUGAGGCGCGAAAGCGUGGGGAGCAAACAGG
rnacentral:rRNA from 1 species